UGCGUAGGCGGAUUAUUAAGUCAGUAGUGAAAUCCUGCAGCUCAACUGUAGAACUGCUAUUGAUACUGGUAAUCUUGAAUUUAGUUGAGGUGGGCGGAAUGUGUAAUGUAGCGGUGAAAUGCUUAGAUAUUACACAGAACACCGAUUGCGAAGGCAGCUCACUAAACUAACAUUGACGCUGAGGCACGAAAGCGUGGGGAGCGAACAGGAUUAGAUACCCUGGUAGUCC
rnacentral:rRNA from 1 species